UACGUAGGGUGCGAGCGUUAAUCGGAAUUACUGGGCGUAAAGCGUGCGCAGGCGGUUAUGUAAGACAGGUGUGAAAUCCCCGGGCUUAACCUGGGAACUGCAUUUGUGACUGCAUAGCUAGAGUACGGUAGAGGGGGAUGGAAUUCCGCGUGUAGCAGUGAAAUGCGUAGAUAUGCGGAGGAACACCGAUGGCGAAGGCAAUCCCCUGGGCCUGUACUGACGCUCAUGCACGAAGCGUGGGGAGCAAAC
rnacentral:rRNA from 1 species